rnacentral:sRNA from 12 species
GCCGCCACGCCUCUUAGCAAUGCGCAAACUUGGCGGCU